rnacentral:rRNA from 1 species
ACUCCUACGGGAGGCAGCAGUGGGGAAUUUUGGACAAUGGGCGGAAGCCUGAUCCAGCAAUGCCGCGUGAGUGAAGAAGGCCUUCGGGUUGUAAAGCUCUUUCAGUCGAGAAGAAAAGGCUAUGCCGAAUAAGUAUAGUUAAUGACGGUAUCGAAAGAAGAAGCACCGGCUAACUACGUGCCAGCAGCCGCGGUAAUACGUAGGGUGCAAGCGUUAAUCGGAAUUACUGGGCGUAAAGGGUGCGCAGGCGGUACUGUAAGUCAGAUGUGAAAUCCCCGGGCUUAACCUGGGAAUUGCGUUUGAAACUACAGAACUAGAGUGUAAUAGAGGGAGACGGAAUUCCAUGUGUAGCAGUGAAAUGCGUAGAGAUAUGGAAGAACAUCGAUGGCGAAGGCAGUCUCCUGGAUUAACACUGACGCUCAUGCACGAAAGCGUGGGGAGCAAACAGGAUUAGAUACCCUGGUAGUCCACGCCCUAAACUAUGUCAACUAGUUGUUGGGCUUUAAAAAGCUUAGUAACGUAGCUAACGCGUGAAGUUGACCGCCUGGGGAGUACGGUCGCAAGAUUAAAACUCAAAGGAAUUGACGGGGACCCGCACAAGCGGUGGAUUAUGUGGAUUAAUUCGAUGCAACGCGAAAAACCUUACCUACCCUUGACAUGUCAGAAAGUUUUCAGAAAUGAAAGCGUGCUCGAAAGAGAAUCUGAGCACAGGUGCUGCAUGGCUGUCGUCAGCUCGUGUCGUGAGGUGUUGGGUUAAGUCCCGCAACGAGCGCAACCCUUGCGAUUAAUUGCCAUCAUUGAGUUGGGCACUUUAAUGAGACUGCCGGUGACAAACCGGAGGAAGGUGGGGAUGACGUCAAGUCCUCAUGGCCCUUAUGGGUAGGGCUUCACACGUAAUACAAUGGCG